GGGCAAUUGGCUUAGGUGGUAUAGCGCCCGCUUAGCAUCGCAUCAUGCGCAAAUGCCAACCUGCGGGAGGUCCAGGGUUCGAGUCCCUGAUUGUCCA
rfam:Sporothrix schenckii ATCC 58251 unplaced genomic scaffold supercont1.9, whole genome shotgun sequence.